AUUGAACGCUGGCGGCAGGCCUAACACAUGCAAGUCGAGCGGAUGAAGGGAGCUUGCUCCUGGAUUCAGCGGCGGACGGGCGAGUAAUGCCUAGGAAUCUGCCUGGUAGUGGGGGAUAACGUCCGGAAACGGGCGCUAAUACCGCAUACGUCCUGAGGGAGAAAGUGGGGGAUCUUCGGACCUCACGCUAUCAGAUGAGCCUAGGUCGGAUUAGCUAGUUGGUGGGGUAAAGGCCUACCAAGGCGACGAUCCGUAACUGGUCUGAGAGGAUGAUCAGUCACACUGGAACUGAGACACGGUCCAGACUCCUACGGGAGGCAGCAGUGGGGAAUAUUGGACAAAGGGCGAAAGCCUGAUCCAGCCAUGCCGCGUAUGUGAAGAAGGUCUUCGGAUUGUAAAGCACUUUAAGUUGGGAGGAAGGGCAGUAAGUUAAUACCUUGCUGUUUUGACGUUGCCAACAGAAUAAGCACCGGCUAACUUCGUG
rnacentral:rRNA from 1 species